rnacentral:rRNA from 1 species
GACGUAGGGGGCCAGCGUUGCUCGGAAUUACUGGGUGUAAAGGGUUCGUAGGCGGUGCGGCAAGUUGGGAGUGAAAUCUCUGGGCUCAACCCAGAGGCUGCUUCCAAAACUGCUGUGCUUGAGUGUGGGAGAGGCGCGUGGAAUUGCAGGUGUAGCGGUGAAAUGCGUAGAUAUCUGCAGGAACACCCGUGGCGAAAGCGGCGCGCUGGACCACAACUGACGCUGAGGAACGAAAGCCAGGGGAGCAAACGGG